GACGAACGCUGGCGGCGUGCUUAACACAUGCAAGUCGAACGGAAGGGCCCUGCUUUUGUGGGGUGCUCGAGUGGCGAACGGGUGAGUAACACGUGAGUAACCUGCCCUUGACUUUGGGAUAACUUCAGGAAACUGGGGCUAAUACCGGAUAGGAGCUCCUGCUGCAUGGUGGGGGUUGGAAAGUUUCGGCGGUUGGGGAUGGACUCGCGGCUUAUCAGCUUGUUGGUGGGGUAGUGGCUUACCAAGGCUUUGACGGGUAGCCGGCCUGAGAGGGUGACCGGCCACAUUGGGACUGAGAUACGGCCCAGACUCCUACGGGAGGCAGCAGUGGGGAAUAUUGCACAAUGGGCGGAAGCCUGAUGCAGCAACGCCGCGUGCGGGAUGACGGCCUUCGGGUUGUAAACCGCUUUCGCCUGUGGCGAAGCGUGAGUGACGGUAAUGGGUAAAGAAGCACCGGCUAACUACGUG
rnacentral:rRNA from 1 species